UACAGAGGUCUCAAGCGUUGUUCGGAUUCAUUGGGCGUAAAGGGUGCGUAGGCGGCUUGUUGCGUCGACUGUGAAAACCUGCGGCUCAACCGUGUGGUCUGCAGUCGAUACGGGCAGGCUGGAGUUCGGUAGGGGAGACUGGAAUUCCUGGUGUAGAGGUGAAAUUCGUAGAUAUCAGGAGGAACACCAGUGGCGAAGGCGGCUUUCUGGACGGUAACUGACGCUGAGACGCGAAAGCGUGGGGAGCAAACAGG
rnacentral:rRNA from 1 species